AAUGAACGCUGGCGGCAUGCCUAACACAUGCAAGUCGAACGAGACCUUCGGGUCCAGUCUCGCACGGGUUCGUAACGCGUGGGAACCUGCCCUUGGGUUUGGAAUAACUCCCCGGAAGGGGUGCUAAUACCGGAUAAUAUCUUCGGACCAAAGAUAUAUUGCCUUUGGGGGGGCCCGAGUUGGAUUGGCUUUUUGGUAGGGUAAAAGCCUACCAAGGGUACGAUCGGUAACUGGUUUGAGAGGCAGAGCAGCGACACUGGGAGGGAGACGCGGCCCAGAAUCUUACGGGAUGGAGCAGAGGGGAAUCGUGGAAAGUCGGCGGAGGGAUGAAGGAGCUAGGCCGGGUGAGUGCUGAAGUUCGUAGGGUUGUAAAGCGCUUUUAACCGGGAUGAUAAUGACGGUACCGGGAGAAUAAGCACCGGCUAACUCCGUG
rnacentral:rRNA from 1 species